GACGAACGCUGGCGGCGUGCCUAACAAAUGCAAGUCGAACGAGAAUCUUUGAACAGAUCUUUUCGGAGUGACGUUUAAAGAGGAAAGUGGCGGACGGGCGAGUAACGCGUGAGUAACCUGCCCAUAAGAGGGGGAUAAUCCAUGGAAACGUGGACUAAUACCGCAUAUUGUAGUUAAGUUGCAUGACUUGAUUAUGAAAGAUUUAUCGCUUAUGGAUGGACUCGCGUCAGAUUAGAUAGUUGGUGAGGUAACGGCUCACCAAGUCAACGAUCUGUAGCCGAACUGAGAGGUUGAUCGGCCGCAUUGGGACUGAGACACGGCCCAGACUCCUACGGGAGGCAGCAGUGGGGAAUAUUGCGCAAUGGGGGCAACCCUGACGCAGCAACGCCGCGUGCAGGAAGAAGGUCUUCGGAUUGUAAACUGUUGUCGCAAGGGAAGAAGACAGUGACGGUACCUUGUGAGAA
rnacentral:rRNA from 1 species